GCGGAGUUGACAGGUUGCUACGGGUGAAAGAAAAUAUCUAAAGGGUAUCAGUUUUCGGACGGUUUAAACUGAACCAAGCAAUGAACUAUACUGGAUAUUUUGUGAUAAGGUUGCUGCUAAUUACAACAUAUGCGAGGAGCUUCCUUAUAAGAUCAUUUCAUAUGGAAAACUGAACAAAUCCUGCCGCAUACGGAAAAUGUUUUGCUAUCACCACUUCCGCAACCAUCCACGGAAAAGGUUGAAGAGACUUUUCUCGAUCUUCCCUCGGAUCAAAACCCUCCGAACGAACUACGAUGCUGCUGCCGUUGUAGAAUCCACAGGACCUUACUACUGAAGGACACAUAGAAUGGUUUGUCUUCUGCUGCAGCGCAAAUUCAGAAGGAAUCCCGGAUUAAGCAUUCCAGCUCGAAAUUCUAACGUUAGGCAGUCGUUUUCGCAGUCGUAUGAAUUCUCCGGAAAAUUGUUUUUAUGAAAAAAUAACGAUGACGUAAAACGAUAA